GUAGGAUCCAGCUCUACCCGUGAUGGACCCAAACUACAUCGAUAGAUACAAAAGACUUAAUCCAUCUACUUUUACAGGAGCAUCCACUUUUGAAGAAGCGGAAGAUGGAUUAGCAAAGAAGGAGAAGGCUUUUGCAACCCUUUAAGUAGUUCUUGAACAUAAGGUUAUUCUUGCCAUUUACAUGCUGGUGGGUGAGGCAAGGCGUUGGUGGUAACUGAAGCAGACUACUCUACUCACUUCA
rnacentral:lncRNA from 1 species